UUAAAAUUUUAUGUAUCAUUCAAACGAAAAUUAAAAAUCAAUCAGAAAUACUAAAUAUGUAUGUACAUUAGGGUACUCGUACUUUUCGACCGUACGCUCCAAACUUUUCAGCAUAACGAAUGCCACACUGAUUGGCCUAAAGCUUUUUGCCAGCGCAUAGUUAUCCUUUCUCGGUUUAGAAAUUAAAACUACCCUGCCUUUCCUCCAAAUUGUGAGAACGUGGCCAAAUUGCAGACAGGUCCUAACAACUUUUAUUAGAGCUCCUAUAAGUCUAUCUCGCCCACACUUUCGGAUAUGCAUCGGAUACACACCAACUGGGCUCGGUGACAUAAAAUCUUCAAAAGAGGCCAAAGAAAACAUCAAUGACUCCUCAGUCACCACCCUUGAUGCUAUAUACUAGGUUGGUCUGGUGACUCCUCCCGUCGCGCUAUCCCUCUAAGUAUCUCUGCGUCAGCAAUUAAUCUGCUAACCGGCAAAUUUUUUUUCCUAGUUUUCUGAGUGAAUCCAGCCAACCAUCCGGUCGUCUGUCAGAGACCUUUUCAUGUUGUCGAUAUCACUACAGAAGUCUAUAAUAGCUCAAUGUUAACGUGCGAAUUUGCCUCUUUAAUGCCUUAUUCAGAAAACUCCUAGACCUUUUACGGAGUUUGGUAAAUUCAGCGUUCCACCAUGGGACCGCUUUGUUGUUAUUGUAGCAGCAUACAAAUUCCCCAAAGACUUUUUGGGGAGUGUUGCUGGAGUGACAGUCCUUGGCCAGAUAUAAAUCUGGGUCGUUCCGGUUACGUAGACCCGACUGUCGUGGGAACGAUGGGACCGCUUCUUCCUGCCUGCUUCUUCUUAGCUGACAUACAAAUUUUCUCAGAACAACAAAUCAAAGUACUCGUUACCUUGGGCGUCGCCUCUACAAUUGAUUUAAGGUUUUUGAGGAUUCCGAGCUUUUUGCACUUGGCAAGUAUCAUACAUACUUGUGUGUGAUACUAAGUUUAAAACGAAACAUUUUAACAAAACAAACGCCCUUAUAUUCAUCGCUGAGAAGGUAAUUUCGGGCUUCAACAACUUUCAGACAAGCUCCUGUGCUGGUUGCCUCAACCACGAGCGUCGGUUUUGACGGAUUAUCUGAGAAAGCAGUUUUAUGGUGCAAUACUUGAUCCAGCAGCAGGUUAGCAACCUGGCCUUAUGCACAUUCGACACAAGCACACUAGGCGCUGUUCGUAUAACUAUUGCUGAGAAGCAAAGGAUGCUCGUUAGCAUUGGGUUGGCCCCACUUUGUUUCACUUUUGCUAGGGGAAUUAGCCUUUGGACUCCGCGUAGCAGAGUGUGAUUGGCAAUUUUUUACAAUAAUCCGAGUGUGCCGUGGCUCUAGUCGAAGAGGAUGUUAUUGCUUUUGUCGGCUCUGUUUUGAGGAUUGCUUCAUAUAAGUAGUGUUGUCGUUUUCAGCUUCGUAUCCAUAAUUGGUUAGUGGUGGUCAAACAGUGUCGUCCGUAUAGGCAGACACGCCGUACCUGGGUAAGGGUUACGGUGCGUUCAGAAAUGCAUCAAGCCAAAGCAGGAGUCUCUUUAAUUUCUAAACUAUAUUUGAUUGAAAUGUCCAAUAUGCGCCACCACGGUUAAAUACCGAGUUGGAACUCAGUUGCAGAUACUGAUGCUUUGGCUUGAUGCAUUUCUGAACACAGCCUUAUUAAUUCUGUGACUAGGCCUUAGAAAGUUCACAACCAGGUUUAUGUUUUACACGGGUCAUCCGGCUUUGAAAGUGCAAAGGUAAUUGGUUUGGGCAAAUAUUUACGGUUAGAUGGAUGCGUAAGGCUUGGUAGGUUAAUAAAGCGCAGGAAUUCAUGAAUGCCUCCUUCGCUUUGGUCCGCUAGACAGACAAAGAAGUGACGGUGAAAUGAGCGUCUUCUUGCCCACGAUAGGGCAGGUCUACGGACAGAAAGUUUUGGAGUGUUUCCAGGGCUUUAGUGAACGUGGAUGGCAGCGCUCUUGGUGAGUUUAGAAUUAGUGGGCGGCUUAUCCAGUGAUGGCAGUGACGUCGUAGAAUAAUGUAGGAUAUACGACUGCUGUGUUUAUUCAGUGCACUAUACGUUUCAUGCCUAUACUAGUCGUUUUGCAUGCGUAAAGGGCGGCCUAAAUUUAAAAUAUGUGGUCCCAAUUUUUGGAAAUGUAUACCUUUCGCGUGCGUGAGUAAAUGACGUGAAAUUUUGUAUUUAUGACUUCUACUAUUCCCUUUCUAAGCACACCCAGUUUUUGUAUAUUAACUGUCACCAUGACUUUUUCUCUACCUGCCACCAUAUAGUCGAAAGACUGCCCGAUAUAGUGUAAUCUAUUCAAUAUCUGCAAACCUAGGUAAAUUUAAUAAUUUAAGUUUUUAAUUUGAACUCCCAGUGUAUAUAAUUUAAUUUGCGCUUUUCAUUCGUACUCCAAGUAGAUAACCAUCCCCAUAUGAACACAGCUACAAAAAAUAAUACAUACUGGUUUACUUCGGUAUUAAAA